rnacentral:lncRNA from 1 species
UUUUUUAACUAAACUUACCACAAAUAAAAUAAAUAAAAUGCCUAAUACAGACUCAUAUCGCUUUACAAACAUUCUUUAUAUGUUUCGCAGGUUAUCUAAUUGCUAUAUUAGAGAUGAAGGUUGUGCUGCUCUGGCUUCAGCCCUGAAAUCAAACCCUUCACACCUGAGAGAACUCCAUCUCAAUAAUAAUGAAUUAGGAGAUUCAGGACUGAAACUACUCUCUGGUCUACUGGAGGAUCCACAAUAUAAACUAGAGGAGCUACAUAUAUGUCCUGUACUUUAAAUGCAAAACAAACAACUGCCUUCUGUCAUGAAGAACAAACAGCUGCUUGCUGCCACCUGGACACACACUUUGUCUGUAAGGGUUAUGAACUCACAUGUAGUAAUAACUGAAAUUUAAAAAUCUGCUGAUGUUGUACUACUUGCAGCAAUACAGUAAAAUACAUGUUUUCUAUGCAUUCCAUUCCAUUACAAAAUGCUUGACAAACUGCUUUUAUGCAUUUUUGUUCUUUACUGUGUAAUUGUCCAAAAUGCUAGAGAUAUGAUGGUUCAGACUCAUUACCAUUUAAAAUAAUUAAUAGGUGUGAUCAAAUCCUGCGGGAGUGAACUUGUCAGUGUGUUACAUGUAUAUAAAGUGGUGUGUAAAGAAACUGAUAUUUGAUAAUGCUUUGGCCAUGCACACAUCUUUUGAGUGAAAUUCUGAAUGAAAUACGUUUUUCUUUUUUAUCUACUUAAACUUUUUACAUCUUUUAUUGUAGUUUUAAAACAAAGAACAUAUAAAUAACAUAAAACAAAUACAUAAUAAACAAAAAUGAAGAAAGCAAUAAGAAUAUAUACAUAAUGCUAUUUCUGACUCAUGCUUGUCAUGUGAUGUUACUUCUCACUGCUUGGACAUUGUCAUUUCUAAUUACUGGAUGCUGCAUUUAAAAAUGAUCAAAUAGCAAGCCUUUGCAUAUUAAAGGGGUCAUAUAAUGUUGCUAAAAAGAACAUUAUUUGUUGUAAUGGGUUUAUGCGGUUCAAGUAAAAAAAAAAAAGCACAUUAUUUUCUACAUACUAUACAAUAUAGUUUCUCAUCUAUGCCCCACCUUUCUGAAACGCAUACAUUUUAACAAAGCUCAUCGUCCUGAAAAGCGAGGUGUGCUCUGAUUGGUCAGCUAUCCAUUGUGUUGUAAUUGGCCGAAUACCUCAAGCAUGUGAUGGAAAUGUUACUCCCCCUGACUAUACUGUGAUGCCAUGUGUGUCCUGGAGCACCGAGACUAAAACAUUAAACCCCAUGAACAAGGCAUUUGUUGCAUCCAGUGGGGCUAUAAUUACAGAUUAUAAUGACAAUUCCAGCAGCCCUUAAUUCCAGUCCUCGCGCCCCCCAGCUCUGCAUAUUUUGUAUGUUAACACACCAGCGAACAUUUGGGCAAUGUUAUGCAAAGCUUACCACACAGUUAAAUAGACAUAUGGGGGUGUGUUUAAAUGAGGCGUUUUAGGAGCAUGUGGACAAGUCUUAACUUUUAUAAAGAAUAUCUCUUCAGAUUUGAGACUUUAGUCUUUGUGCUACACACAGGUGAGUUGGUCUGUACAAACCACAACUGUACAAAAUAUUGGUAGCAACACACUCUCCUCUAUGCGUAUAGACACUUUUCACACUUAUGUGCUGUGUGCACAUAAUCCCACAAAAGACUCAGUAAUAUGUUUUUACAUGCUCAUGCACAACAGAUCAUCUUGCACUGUUCCCCAGCCAGCUGCUUGACUUACGGUGUUUCUCUUUGCACAUGUACAGUAUUGAAGCACAUAUAAUGUUUGUUUGUUUGUUUUUUAUGUAUAGGUAAACAUUUAUAUAUAGUAUAUUCAUAGUCAAAAUCUGUCAGUAGGUUAGGUGUGUGUAGGUUUAUACUGUUUUACUUCAUUGUUGUAUGUCUGUAUUUACGUAGCACAGUGUGAGACACAACAUUUCGUUCCACUGUAUGUCCACACAUGUAGCGGAAUGACAAUAAAACUCAACUUGACUUGAACUUGAACUUUGAAACUUAACAGAUCUUGUUUAUGCACCAAGAGCUUGAAACACUCCAACGAGAAAGGAAAAACAGAAAUCGCAUCAUAUGACCCCUUUAAAUUAUUUUCAAAGGAGCGUUCGG